rnacentral:rRNA from 1 species
GCGUGAGUGAUGAAGGCCUUAGGGUCGUAAAGCUCUUUCGCCAGAGAUGAUAAUGACAGUAUCUGGUAAAGAAACCCCGGCUAACUCCGUGCCAGCAGCCGCGGUAAUACGGAGGGGGUUAGCGUUGUUCGGAAUUACUGGGCGUAAAGCGCACGUAGGCGGAUUAGAAAGUUAGGGGUGAAAUCCCGGGGCUCAACCUCGGAACUGCCUCUAAAACUCCUAGUCUAGAGUUCGAGAGAGGUGAGUGGAAUUCCAAGUGUAGAGGUGAAAUUCGU